AACCAAGACUCAACUCAAAUCAAAGUGAGUUGAGAAAUUUAUACCUUUGUAGAUUCCUCUUUGCAUAAGCAAAGGCUAAUCACCCAAAGAGAUGACCUUUAUUCCUUGCAUCUAAAAUCUAUGGAUUGGGAUGGAAGAAUAGGUUUCUCCAAGUUCCCAAAAUUGAGAAACUCUAAGUCUCCACACCAAGGUUAGAUUUAAGUAGAAAUGAGUGACCUUGGAGGAGUGGGAUUGCUAGAUACACCCUCCAAGGGGGCCGGCCUCCUAGAGAGAAAAGGAGAGACAUGUUCUCUCCAAUUUUCUCCAAAAGAACCCAUAAUGAAUUUUAGGCUAUAAAGUUCUUUAUAUAGUCAUUUCUUUAAAUGACCUAAAGAACCAAAAAACCCAAUUUCAACACACAUGGCCGGCCAUAUAAGGGAUUUGGGCUUUUGGGCCUUUGUGAAUCUUUAUUCAUUAAAUUGUCAUACAACUUAAGUCAAUGGGCUUGACGUUAGAAGCCCAUUGGGCCUUAAGGUCCAAAACUAUCCCGAGGUCUUUAACGAACUUAUUCGUUUGAUUAAUUAAUAUAUUAAUUAAUCAUUGCCAUAAAUAAUUAAACAAUUUAAUUAUUCUUACUCAUCUCCAUUGUUUCUUCAAUCUCCACCUUACACGAUGUACGAUCCAUUAGGUUCCUUUUAGCGAGGCAGUGGGCGAUUAGAACUCUUUCAAAUCGAUUGUGAAUUGAAACUUACUUUCAAUUCUCCCUUUAGUGAUUAUACACGUUUAAGGCUUCCACAAACCAAGAGUGACACCUAGCAGCAUAUCAUGGUUACCCAAGCUAAUCAGAAGAGGUAGAGAACCUAUUCAGUUUAGGAUUACAAAUGCAAUAGAGUCUUUCUCUAAUACAAUACUCUUGACCACAUUGUUUGGUUUGAUAGUUUAUUCAUGUCUACUAUCCAAUGUGAUUCGUGUGCUUAUAUGAUUACCUUGAAUGUGAUUUGGAACGACUUUCCUAAAUCUCAUUCAUACUCUAGCCAGAGAUUCUAAAUCAUAUCAUAGAGUAUUCUCCCCUAAACGGUUUGAAGGUUAGAGAUCCCUUGUUGCACAUUCACUUGCCUCCAUAGCUAGGUGGCUUAACCCCAAUGAUGCCGUGGACACCCGCGGAUGGGGUGACUUUGACAUAAUCAAAGAUCAAGGACUUAACCACAAGACAGCUGUGAUGCCUCAGGUCAAAGGACUAAUUUGCAUUAUCCCAACCAUGAGUUCUCAUGUGAUAUGAAUAUGAGAACUCUUCGUUGAUCGUGUUCAGUGAACUCAUUCUCUAUUGAGCACCUACGUACUUGUCUUGAUAUCACACACACCAAUGACUUGAGACUAGUCACUCUCCCUGAGAGAAGACACAGCACGUACUGAUCUUAACGGACUGUCAAUGCCCAAUUGGCAAUCAUAUGAUCAGGAACGUUUAGGAUGUGUCUACGAAAGAAUGGUCUCAUGAAUCUAACUUCUUUAGAUCGCAUUCUCCCAAUCACAUAUUCCUUUGGACUUAUCGUUUAAGCAUAUAACAUUUAUAUGAGACGGCUCAAACAAUAAUAUUUGCCCUUGAUAUUAAACUAGAUUAGUUUAACAUGUGAAAUGUCCGUAAAGUAUCAUCAUAUGAUUGGUUUUAGGGCACAUUUCCAACAAUCUCUUACUUGCACUAGAGCCAAUCAGCUUAGUCAUCAGUGAUGAUACCUCUUCUGUAUUCAUUUCAUAAAUGGCUGAAUAGUAGGCCUAGACAAUGGAUAUCUAUAUGUUAUCCAUAGAAGCAACCUUGAGAAUCACGACGUCACCAUUAUACAUGAUUCUCAAUCAUGUGGUUCAGUCUCUCAUUUGAGUUCGGACCUUGAUGAGACCUUGAUUCCCUGGCUUGAGCUAUCGCCCCCAUUAGUGUCAUAGUGUCAGUACACUAGAUACACUUUCUGGUUGGAACCGAAUAAAGAGUUCAUAAAUGAACUUUCCCAUCCAAACAACAAUGUUGUAAGCUUCUAUAUGGCAAUAUAUUUUGCAUUCAUAAUGGAACACACUAAAGUCAUUACUUUUAAUGUUUCCAUCCAAAUAUCUCUUUAGUCAUAAUAAAGAGAUAUCUGAUUAUCUCUUCAUUCAUAAUGAAGAAACAUCCAAUGAUGGAUUAGAUUCAUAAUCUAAUACAUUUACGCUUCCUUUACGUCACUCUAAUUCUUCCUCAUUCUUUGAGGAAUCUAUCCUUUAGUAUUUCUUAAAUACUUAAGGACUCACUUGACAGUUGCCAUGGUUCUGAUCCUGGGCUUGCACUGAUAUCGUCUUGUACCGUUCUAGGUACAACUCAUAUCAAUGUUUUUCAUACAAUAUGAAAUACAUAAAUUCCCUUUAUGCGUAUGCAUAAAGGAUUCUAUUUACGCAUUAUUUCUUUGGGAGUCAAAGAGUACGUUCUCUUUGAGAAGAGCAACUUCUUAGUCUCACUAGAGUUGUCCUUUUGAUUGAAGUUCUUCAUCAUAUGAGAAACUUCCUAGCAUCUAUUGUCUAUUAUUAGGGAUUGAUAUAAUCCAAUUAUAUCAUGAAAUAUAUCAUUAUAGAUUUCCAUCCCAUGUAUAUAGACUAUAUCUCCCAUAUACAUUCUAUCUUCAUAUAAUGUUUCAAAGUCAUAACUUUAAAGAAGAAGUAUUCUUUUCAUUUCCAAAAUUAAUAAAUCAUAUAUAUAUUUAAAUUUUAGGAACAUGAUCAACUCCCACUAACCUUUUGUAAACCUAGUAAACAAAAGAUUCAUUUACAUCUUUAUGAGAAAUCAAACGAUUUGAUCCUUUUCUCAUAAGAUGCAUAUAGCUCCCACUAGCUUGCUAAGAUUCAUGAUGGAUGGAUCUCUACAACUUACAUGUCUUGUGAUUUAUAGUUUUAGACAUAUAUUAUCAAGACUAUCUUAAUAAUGGUUUCGGAAACCCAUAUUAUGUCCAAACAUUGAAUCACCAUUUAGUUGUAGCUAGCUAUCUUCGAAUUAAUUGAAACCAAGACUACGUCAAAAAAUGGUUUCUUCAAAGUCAACCAUCCUUUUGAUUGUAGUUACCUUAAGCUACCAAUUAGCUUAUGAAGGUUUCAUUAUUUCGGGUCAAAUGGUACUUUACCAUUUCCUUGAGUAUAUAUCAUAUAUACACUCAAUGUAGUCAUAAGGAUUUUUAUUCUUAUUUCUUUCGAAUUAAGAGGUGCAACUCUAUGACAUAGUCAUAAAGUUCAAACCAUUCAACUGAGACGGUUUAUAAAUCCUUCUCGACUACCUUGGAGCUUGUGGUAUAGGAACUAGGUUGUUAUAUUUGUUGAUCACUAUCUUGUUUCUUAAAGAACCAUUCUUUGAGUUCUAUCCCUCGUUCAUUUGCUAUUAGGCAAAUCACAUUGUAGGAUUACAAUAAACUACCCAACAAAACAACAUUUGUUAGUUGGUUUAUAGAAGCGAUAUCCAAAAGUUAAUUUAAGGAUAUCCUACAAGAUUGUUAUCAAACAAAUAUUGCUUAUUAGCACACAACCCCCAAAUCUUAAACAUGCUUGAGAUUUGUCUUUCUUUCCAACUACAUCUUAUGGAGUCAUGAAAAAUUUGGAAGAUCUUCUAAUUGACAAUCAUAUUGUUUUUAGAAGUAUAUAUCCUAUAUAUGGGUAAUAGAUAACAUCUAACGAACUAAAUCUUAUUCGAGUUCGUUCUUCUCCUUAAUGGAGAAAUUUAUUAUCUUAUGAUGCUUCUUUCCUUGAUAUCUUUCAAGGAGACUCAUCUAAAGUGUUUCUUUUCCUUGGAUCAAAUCUAAGGAGGUAAAUACUUUAGACGUCUUACUCAUCAACUUACAUUUCUUGAAUUCUUUGAAAAUUUUUGCAAAGUAUUCGGACUUGUGUUUAUUCAAAAUAAACUAUAGUCCAACCGAGAGUGAUCUUCGGUGAAUGUCAUCCAACAUGAGUAGUAUUAUGUUGUGGACAAGUGCCACUAACAUCUAAGUGAAUUAACCUCAACAACUUUGUGAUUCUUUCUUCUUUCCAAAAGAAUAAAGAUUCGAACAUUUCACCUCUAUACAAUUUUAAUAUGAAGGUAUUGGAUCCGGAUCUAACGAUCCAAAGCAUCCAUCUUUCACCAACUCGUAAUUUAUGUUUUAGAGGUAUCACAACUUUAGUUGGGAUUAGUCACUAUCUUGCAACCUUUUGGGUUUUAAGCAUCGUUAUAUUCUAAACAGUUAACACUACCAUAUCAUCUCUACUAUAGAGACAAUCAAUUAGAUUACUAUAAUCCAAUCAUUGAUUAAUAAAGAACAAUGUUUUGUCAAACAAAACAUUCAUCCAUCUCUACUAUAGUGACGGAAUUAAAUUCCUUAAAAUUGGAAUGUAAAGACAAUCUUUGGUUUUUCCAAUUUCUUUGGUAGUUCAUAUGAGGAAGUAAGUACUAUCUGCUUUCGCAGAGAUCUAUAUUUUAUUCACGUUCCGAAUGUGAAGUACCUUUUCUUCUCUCAUAUAUCUUGUACUUCUUAUUAGUCACACUUUUACAACGAUUGUAAAACAUAGUUACUAAUACGGAAUCAAGCAUUCAAGUAGAAGAACGAACUGUUGUGAACUAUUCAAGAACAAUUUACAACACCUUCGAAAGGUGUGUUCUUGACACUUGCAAGACAUUUCUUGCAAAUACCCCUUCCAAUGUCCAUCCUUUCAUAAAGAAAGUUUGUUCCCUUGGAGUUAAUUUUAUCUUCUUCAUUUGACUUUCACCUUUGACUACAAUAGUCAUGGUCCCUAAACUCCCACUAUCUCUCUUGAAACUUAUUUCAAUUGUGUUAUACAUAUCAAACAAUUUGGAGAGCGUGCGGUUAUUGUUCACUAUAUAGUUUACAAUAAACUUAGUGAACUAUAAGGAUAGGGACACAAAGGUGAAGUCCUUGCCUAGUUUCCGUCUCGUUAAGUGAUUUAUCACUUCAACACUCAAUGAUUCAAAAUCAUCAUAAGUCCAUGUUGAUGGACUAUUUUUGUCAACCAACCAUUAUGUUCUAAACAUAAUUACAAACUUUCAAGAGUUGUUCAAGGCAACUCUCAUUUCUUCAUAUAACAAUUUGUAAGUGAAGAAUCAUGGCACAUAAAGUGUCCAUGCCUUUGUGCUUUCUUCUCAAGUUCUUUGUUCAUUUAACAAAGAAACAAGCACUAGUGUUUGCAUUGACUAAGGGUUGUUCAAAGCAACUCUUAUUUCUUCAUACAACGAUUUGUAAGUGAAGAACUAAUAACACUAAAAGUGUCGUUGUCAUUAUGCUAAUCUUCGUAAGUUCCUUUGUUCAUAUAACGAAGGAAUAAGCAUUGGUUGUUUGUGUUGACCUUUUUCAUGAUAGACUUAUCUAACAUGUUCUUCCAAUGAUACAUUACCAAUAGGAAGAAUUUGAGGAUUAGACUACUUAGGUACAUAUACAAUCCAUUUAAGACAAUCUUUGGGAUUGUGGUACCAAGUCCGGAAACUAAAGCUUUCGGUUUUUAUUUGUCAAGUGUUGGAUAGCGUUUGCAAAUAUAUUGGUAAACAAAUACAUAACGAAUAUAAAUUGAUUGAUUUUAAGCCAUUUGAUUCGGGUCUUUAAAUCAAAUAGCACCACCCACUAUUUUUGGCAAAUUCCAUAUCCCUCAUUGGAAAUCGAGAGUUUUGGAUGAAACUCUUAGUAGGGUAUGGGAGACUCACUAUUACCAAGCCCACCUCACAAUGAUAUGAUGUUGGCUAGCAUUAAUAAUAAUGAGAGAGUACGCUUACUCAUUUGCAUCUCUUGCAAGUACCCAUCAAUUUGGCCUCUAGAGAAUGUCACCUCACAAUGAUAUGAUGUUGGCUCCAUUGCACUUAGUUAAGUCAUUCCCACCAUGCUUAGUUUGUGAAGGGGUUCAAGAAUAGCCUCACGAUGAUACGAUGUCGGCCAUCCUUGUUGCCUACACUCACCUCAUCAAGUAUGUAUAUAGACUCCUCCUGAGUAUAAGCAUGCACUUUGCACUCCCCCAUGAUAGGGUGAAGGCGGUGUACAAGUCAUAAACGAUUGGAGCCUACCACGGUGGAAGGCCACGAAAGAGUGUUCAAAGCACUCUCACACUUAUCAACUUAAUAAUGGUUUGGUUGAGGGUUUUAGGUCUCAUCGCAUAUAAACAUACAUUUUAAUCUCUAUUAAAACCAUUUUGGUCCUAUUACAACUAUUGGUCCAUAUGAUUGUUUUUAGUUGUAUAUAAUACUCCCACUAUGCUUAUAAAACGUUUUUUUUUUUUAAAGCAAGAGUAUAUGAUACUACUAACAUAACCUUUGCAUUCAUUUGAUGGACUAUAUAGUUGCCUUAGGGCCUUAGGAUGACUAUGAACCUUUGUUUAGAUUCAACACGAGCCUUGUGUGGAAUCUCAGUCUAGGGAUGGUGAUUGAUUUUAGUUACACGUUUAAUCACAUUAAGGCGUGUUGUCUUAGGGGCGUUGGACCCAACUACUUCAUUUUCAUGCAUAUCAAAUAAAGCAAGAAAGAAGUACUUCAAAGUAAAGGUGAGCUUAUGCUCAUUACAACAUUUGCAUAAAACAAAUUACCUUAAAGUAAAGAAGGGCUUAUGCCCUUUUGCAACAUUUGAUCAAAUCAAAUUACAACCAAAAUCUAAUCUACACAUUCCCAUGGUUCAAACAAAUUUGAAACGGCCUUUCACAUAGCUCAAUUAUAUUAGGCUUAGGUUCAUAAUCACCCUUUAAUUAAUUAACACUUUAACUAAUUAAAUAGAAUGCAACAUUUUCAUUUGGUUUUUGUAUCCAUAAGAUUGAUUUAAAUGGAGCUAAAUGAAAUGAAAAUCCAAUUCUCAUUUAAAGAGACAAAACAAUUUUGUUCUCUACCUAAUUUGGGCCAAUAUGCAAUAACCACAACUUAUUUGGGCCAUAAAGCAAUUAACCUCAACUUUUGGGCUAUAUUGCAAAACUUUUGGGGGUCACUUUGUAAAAACACAAAAGUCCACUACUUCAUGUAAUUACAACUAGAACCCAAAAUUUUAAUAAUGCAAAAACUUCAUUAAAGGAGCAAAACAAUUUGUCCUUUAGCGUUUUUGGACCUAAACGUAAAAACGUAAACUUUUGGGCCAAAGUGCAAAUACACAAAAGUAUCAAACCUUUAUGUAAUUGCAUAAAAGCCCCAAAAGUACCCUACAUGUAGGGUGGCCGGUUUUGGAGAGGAGAUGUGAGUGAUGUGUGUGUUGAUUUGUGAGUUUUGACAUAAAGCAUGCAAGUGCACAAGUGGUGUGUGUGAAAGGGAAUUAAUCCUUUCACACCCACCAUUAUUUCUAUCACCAUUUAAACAAAUAUCUAAAACAUUUAAACAUUUGAAAAACAUAAAACAUAAACUUUAUGAAAUAAAUCAAAACUUUGAAUCAAAACACAAAACUUGUUGUUCUUGGCAAAAAUGUCAAGAACAAUGAAGAACAUUCAUGAAAAAACCCAAAAAAUUUCCAUGAACAUUUUUCACCCAAAAACAUUCCAAAACCAUUCAAACUUUAGGGAAAUAACAUAUAACCAAACUAUGGUACAUAGGGGUUCCAAAAGUUACUUGAAAACACAUUUAACAAGUCAAACAAGAACCCAAAAAUCCACCCUUUGGAUUUGGCCGAAAAUUCCCAAAAGCAUGGCAACAAAUUUUAGCUCCAAUAUUCAUGCUCAUAAGAACUACAUCUACAACAUUUGAGAUGGCAAAUUUUCUAGCAAAUUUUACAUUAAAAGAAGCAAGAAUAAAGCUUGUAACAAUUACAACUUUUAAAUCACAAACUAUGAACUACAAAACCCAAAAGAAUUCACCAACUACUAGACCUAGGCUCUGAUACCACUUGAAGGAUGAUUUUGUGAAAACAUGUUCAUUUGAGCAACAUCAUAUAGCAUGCAAUUAACAAUUAAAGACGGAAACAUGCUUGCAUGCACUCAAAAACAAAACAUUAACCAUGAAAUUCAAAGCCUAGUAGAUUGGUGAACCAAGACUCAACUCAAAUCAAAGUGAGUUGAGAAAUUUAUACCUUUGUAGAUUCCUCUUUGCAUAAACAAAGGCUAAUCACCCAAAGAGAGGGCCUUCAUUCCUUGCAUCUAAAAUCUAUGGAUUUGGAUGGAAGAAUAGGUUUCUCCAAGUUCCCAAAAUUGAGAACCUCUAAGUCUCCACACCAAGGUUAGAUUUAAGUAGAAAUGAGUGACCUUGGAGGAGUGGGAUUGCUAGAUACACCCUCCAAGGGGGCCGGCCUCCUAGAGAGAAAAGGAGAGACAUGUUCUCUCCAAUUUUCUCCAAAAGAACCCAUAAUGAAUUUUAGGCUAUAAAGUUCUUUAUAUAGUCAUUCUUUAAAUGACCUAAAGAACCAAAAAACCCAAUUUCAACACACAUGGCCGGCCAUAUAAGGGAUUUGGGCUUUUGGGCCUUUGUGAAUCUUUAU
rnacentral:lncRNA from 1 species